GAGUUUGAUCCUGGCUCAGAUUGAACGCUGGCGGCAUGCCUUACACAUGCAAGUCGAACGGCAGCAUGAUCUAGCUUGCUAGAUUGAUGGCGAGUGGCGAACGGGUGAGUAAUACAUCGGAACGUGCCCUGUAGUGGGGGAUAACUAGUCGAAAGAUUAGCUAAUACCGCAUACGACCUGAGGGUGAAAGUGGGGGACCGCAAGGCCUCAUGCUAUAGGAGCGGCCGAUGUCUGAUUAGCUAGUUGGUGGGGUAAAGGCCCACCAAGGCGACGAUCAGUAGCUGGUCUGAGAGGACGAUCAGCCACACUGGGACUGAGACACGGCCCAGACUCCUACGGGAGGCAGCAGUGGGGAAUUUGGACAAUGGGCGAAAGCCUGAUCCAGCAAUGCCGCGUGUGUGAAGAAGG
rnacentral:rRNA from 1 species